rnacentral:rRNA from 1 species
UUGCCAGCCCGCUCAGAACUUAAAUGAAUUGACGGGGCCGCACAAGCGUGGAGCAUGUGGUUAAUUCGAUGAUACGCGAGGAACCUUACCUGGGCUCAAAUGUAUGUUGACGUAUUCUGAAAGGGAUACUUCUUCGGACAAUAUACAAGGUGCUGCAUGGUUGUCGUCAGCUCGUGCCGUGAGGUGUCGGGUUAAGUCCCAUAACGAGCGCAACCCCUAUCAUUAGUUGCCAUCAGGUCAAGCUGGGGACUCUAAUGAAACUGCCUACGCAAGUAGUGAGGAAGGUGGGGAUGACGUCAAAUCAGCACGGCCCUUACGUCCAGGGCUACACACGUGCUACAAUGGCCGGUACAAAGGGCAGCUACCUGGUGACAGGAUGCUAAUCUCAAAAGCCGGUCUCAGUUCGGAUCGGAGUCUGCAACCCGACUCCGUGAAGCUGGAAUCGCUAGUAAUCGUGAAUCAGAAUGUCACGGUGAAUACGUUCCCGGGCCUU